GGGAAGGAUGAGAAGCUUCGACUAAGGUUCGAUUCGAGCGCAGCGAGAACGCGUUGCCGCAGGCAACGACCCGAAGGGCGAAGCGCGCAGCGCUGAGUCAUCCUUCCCCCACCACCA
rnacentral:sRNA from 7 species